rnacentral:rRNA from 1 species
CACGUAGGGGACGAGCGUUGUCCGGAAUCAUUGGGCGUAAAGCGCGCGUAGGCGGCCCGGAAAGUCGGAUGUGAAAUCCCGGGGCUCAACCCCGGGCCUGCAUCCGAUACUCCCGGGCUGGAGGCAGGUAGGGGAGAUCGGAAUUCCUGGUGGUAGCGGUGAAAUGCGCAGAUAUCAGGAGGAACACCGGUGGCGAAGGCGGAUCUCUGGGCCUUGCCUGACGCUGAGAAGCGAAAGCAUGGGGAGCGAACAGGA